rnacentral:rRNA from 1 species
GACGAACGCUGGCGGCGUGCCUAAUACAUGCAAGUCGAACGCUUCUUUCCUCCCGAGUGCUUGCACUCAAUUGGAAAGAGGAGUGGCGGACGGGUGAGUAACACGUGGGUAACCUACCCAUCAGAGGGGGAUAACACUUGGAAACAGGUGCUAAUACCGCAUAACAGUUUAUGCCGCAUGGCAUAAGAGUGCAAGGCGCUUUCGGGUGUCGUUGAUGGAUGGACCCGCGGUGCAUUAGCUAGUUGGUGAGGUAACGGCUCACCAAGGCCACGAUGCAUAGCCGACCUGAGAGGGUGAUCGGCCACACUGGGACUGAGACACGGCCCAGACUCCUACGGGAGGCAGCAGUAGGGAAUCUUCGGCAAUGGACGAAAGUCUGACCGAGCAACGCCGCGUGAGUGAAGAAGGUUUUCGGAUCGUAAAACUCUGUUGUUAGAGAAGAACAAGGACGUUAGUAACUGAACGUCCCCUGACGGUAUCUAACCAGAAAGCCACGGCUAACUACGUG